rnacentral:rRNA from 1 species
GGAAUAUUGGACAAUGGGCGAAAGCCUGAUCCAGCCAUGCCGCGUGAUGGAUGAAGGCCCUCUGGGUUGUAAACAUCUUUUAUCAGGGAAGAAACAUUCUGUUUCUACAGGACUUGACGGUACCUGAUGAAUAAGCACCGGCUAACUCCGUGCCAGCAGCCGCGGUAAUACGGAGGGUGCAAGCGUUAUCCGGAUUUACUGGGUUUAAAGGGUGCGUAGGCGGGAAAAUAAGUCAGUGGUGAAAGCACCGGGCUCAACUCGGUAACUGCCAUUGAUACUGUUUUUCUUGAAUGCGAUUGAGGUAAGCGGAAUGUUGCAUGUAGCGGUGAAAUGCUUAGAUAUGUUACAGAACACCAAUUGUGAAGACAGCUUACUCAGUCGUGAUUGACGCUGAGGCACGAAAGCGUGGGGAGCAAA